GGGCACUAUGGGGAACAAUGGGGGCACUACGGGGACAAUAUGGGACACCUGGGGCACAAUGGGGCACUAAGGGGCACUAGGGGGCACUUGGGGGCAUUAUGGAGCACUAUGGGCACUAUGGGGACCAAUCGGGGCACUAUGGGGCACUAUGAGGGAAUAAUGGGGCACUAUGGGGCACUAUGGGGAACUAUGGGCACUAUGGGGGGAUUAUGGGGACAAUAUGGGACACCUGGGGCACUAUGGGGGCACUGUGGGGCACUAUGGGGCACUAUGGGGUCACUAUGGGGUCACUAUGGGGAUGUUUGGGGACGUUUGGGGUCCAGGAUCCGCCCGCUGUCCCCCGAUGGCGCUGGGUUCCCAUUCACCGCCGCCGCCGGAAUCCCCGCCGUGGAGCUGCGCUUCGACGAGGCCGUUGGGGGUUGGUCGCACGCAGCUCUGGGGACCCCCGAGGACACCCUGGGGCGGCUGCAGGGGGGGCUGCGGGGCCGGCUGCCGGCGGUGGCGCAGGCGGUGGCGGCGGUGGCUGCGGUGCUGCUGCUGCGUUUGGGCCACGACGCGCGGCUGCCCCUCGACCCCACAGCUUUGGGGGACGCCCUGCUGAGACGGAUGGCGCCGCUGCAGGUCUGAAACAGCCCCCCCCCCUCCCCCCGACCCCACAUGGCCCCAUAUGGCCCCAUAUCGCGGCCCCGUAUGGCACCGUAUCGCUGUGUCCCCAUAUGGCCCCAUAAGGCCCCAUAUGGCACCAUAUGGCACCAUAUUGCUGUGUCCCCAUAUGGCCCCAUAAGGCCCCAUAUCAUGGCCUCAUGUGGCCCCAUAUCGCUGUGUCCCCGUAUGGCCCCAUAUGGCCCCAUAUCAUGGCCCCAUAUGGCACUGUAUUGCUGUGUUCCCAUAUGGCCCUACAUGGCCCCAUAUCAUGGCCCUAUAUGACGCCAUAUCACGGCCCUAUAUGGCACCAUAUUGCUGUGUCACCAUAUGGCCCCAUAUGACCCCACAUGGCCCCAUAUCAUGGCCCCAUAAGGCCCCAUAUGGCCCUGUAUCACGGCCCCAUAUGGCACCGUAUCACUGUGUCCCCAUAUGGCCCCAUAAGGCCCCACAUGGCCCCACAUCACUGUGUCCCUACAUCCCCCCAUAUCCCCCAAUAUCCCCCCAUAUGUCCCCAUAUCUCCCUGUAUGUCCCCAUAGCCCCAUACCCCAAUGUCCCCAAUGUCCCCAUAUGACCCCCAAUGUCCCUAUAUGUCCCCAUAGCCCCAUAUAUCCUUAUACAUCCCCAUGUCCCCAAUGUCCCUCCUUGUCCCCCAUGUCCCCAAUGUCCCUGAUGUCCCCCAUGUCCCCAGUAUCCCCAAUAUCCCCAACGUCCCCCAUGUCCCCAAUGUCCCCCAUGUCCCCAAGGUCCCCAAUGUCCCCCUUGUCCCCCAAUAUCCCCAAUAUCCCCAACGUCCCCAAUGUCCCCAUGUCCCCAAUGUCCCCGAUGUCCC
rnacentral:lncRNA from 1 species